rnacentral:lncRNA from 1 species
UUAGAGAUGAAAGGCCAGGAUCUCAGAUGGACGGCCUGAUAAGACUCGGGUUCGGGAAGUGAUCUCGUUUCCGCGUUGCCGCGUAUUUAAGUUCCGCCGCCUUGUUCUGUGUCUAAGUUCUGAGCGACUCCUCAGGAUGGCGCCGCUCCUGCCGCUGCUGCUGCUGCUCGCCGUCAUGAACGCGCCCGGCUGGGCCCAACGGUUCUACGGCGGGACUCUGACCGUCAGCCCGAAGUGGGGGUCUCCGAACGGGACCUAUCAGGUGGAGCUCCGGAACCGACACACCACCCAGUACUGCUACGUCAACCCGUGGGUCUGCCUGUACGGGAACUGCGGCUCCACGCUGCGCUCCACCACCGGGAAGAUCGCCUGGGAAUCCUACGGCCUCAACUGGUGCCUGAAGGAGACGAGCAGCAGCCUCCAGCUGACCGGGAACCUGCCCUUCGCCGUCCGAUUCCCUCGGUACUCCACCUCUUCCUAUGGAAAAUGGGUCUCGAACCCAAGAGGACAUGGGAUCCCCUACAGAAUGAUGGCUCACGUGGACCUGGGAACCCGAUCCGACACCAGAAGACCCAACAGACCUCCCGUCUCCACCAUGCUGCCCAUCGUCAGGGUCACCAGGAACUGCCCUCGGACAUUCAACCUGAAUGUCUUCGACCCCGACGGCGACCGUGUGAGGUGCAGGAUCCCGACCAGCUCCAGCACUUAUGAGUGCAACCUGUGCGGUCCCCAGCAGGACUUCUCUCUGGACGAGGGAUCCUGCUCCCUGACCUACAGCGGCAGCCAUCGCUAUGGAAACCGUCCCAUCGAGCUGGUCGUGGAAGACUUCCCGACUGAACCGAUCAGACUGUCCUAUUCUGAUGGCUCUUACACCAACAAGCAGCCCUUCUCCGCUGCCAGACGUAGACGUCAAGCCUUCGUAACCGAAGUUCCAAGUGCUGGACCAGGUACAACUGGCACCCAGGACCAAAUGAUGGACCAGGUACAACCAGCACCCCAAGUCCAACUGCUGGACCAGGUACAACCAGCACCCCAGGUCCAACUGAGGUGA